AACAAUAGGGUUUUUGUUUGUUUGUUUGUUUGUUUGUUUGUUUUAAGGUGAUGUAAUUAUGGCUGGAGGAAGUUUUGACAUACCAGACCCCCAUCUUCCAGGUGCUUGUCAGUUUAUCCUCCCCGGAACCACCACCCAUUCAUGGCUGAUCAGCUACUUAUCAGUAAUCACUCUACUGGAUGCUAAGAGUACAUUGGAUCGCACACACUCGUAAGCCUGUGUCCAAGGGGGAACAACGGGAAUUGCCCACCGAGUACAAGACAGCAGUGCGCGCUCUGGAAAGCCCGGAGCAAGUUCCGCGUAAAUCAAUUAUGUCCCCCUCCAGGCUAGGUCACAGUUGGGGAGGCCACUGGGGCUGGGAAGGGCUGGGGCGGCUCUGGGUCAGUUCAGCUCCACUCACUCUCCUACGGGAUCGCUUUUCCCGUCAGUCAGGCCUCAGGGGGCGGGCACUGGGUCAGUAGCCAAUCAGGCUCUCGGGGGCGGGGCGGUCUUGCCGUCCCAGCAGGCGCGCUCAGGAAGGAGGGCUGGUGCUGCGGCCGGCGCGUCGGAGGUUCUCUGCCCCCGCCAGGCUCCAAACCCUGUCUCAGUUUCUGUUGGCUGUGAACUCCACUGACCGCAGGAGCUGUAGGGAGGACGCCAGAGACUCCUCCCAAGUCGGAAAAUGGAUGAACUCAGUUCCCCAAUGGACAAGUUGUGACAACAUGCAUGAAAUAGCGUCUACCAGGACUCGGUGGCUUUUCAGGAUGUGGCUGUGGACUUCACCCGGGCAGAGUGGGCUUUGUUGGAUCCUUCCCAGAAGAAUCUCUACAGAGAUGUGAUGCGGGAAACUUUCAGAAACCUGGC